CACAGCGAUCUGUGGAUCCAUCCGACGCGCGGGUGGGGAGCCAGGCGACGCUAGAUCCGCAGCGGGAGGGGAUGAAGCCGACGCGACGCUCGCGUGACCGGCGGUCGAUGGGAUCCAGCGGACGCGAGCCAGGCGACGCGCGCGAGGGAACCGACAGAGGAUCCAGUCGACGCAAGCCGAGCGAGGGAUCCAGUGCUCGAGGGAUCCAACAACGCUUGCCUGCCUGAGUGCCUGACCGCUUGCAGGCGCACCAGGACAAUCCCCUCGAGGAGACAGGAGUACCCGGUCUUGCCUUGAUCUGAUUUCGUUGGCCUGUAGUCAACUUUCUGGCCCAACGAUAGAUUUUUGCUAUUACAUGGUAGCAGAGGCCCAGCCACUAUUUCCUUCGAUUGCAGCAUCUCUGUACGUACGAGGUUCAUCCAUGGCUCCUAGAUAGAUUAGCAUCUUUCAUGGUGAUUCAUUGUGCCCCUUCCUUUCAUGUAUGCAUCGAGUACAUCUAUGCCCUUCUCCCAUAUUUUGUUGUUUCUGGCCCAAUAUAUUACAGCUUAAUAGUAAACGAGAAACUGUGUUGGUUCGGUACACAGAGACUAUUCCAGCAAAAAAACUUGCCGGGCUGCAAAGCUUGCACACGUAUUUUGGUUGGAUUCCAUGGCUGGCCUUUUUACAAUGGACUCAGGGCAUGUAAGUGCAUUUGGAAUGAAAAAAAUGAUACCAUAAUGUAUGGGUUCAAAUCA